CAGCCGCCGCGGUAAAACGGAGGGAGCUAGCGUUGUUCGGAAUUACUGGGCGUAAAGCGCGCGUAGGCGGUUACUCAAGUCAGAGGUGAAAGCCCGGGGCUCAACCCCGGAACUGCCUUUGAAACUAGGUGACUAGAAUCUUGGAGAGGUCAGUGGAAUUCCGAGUGUAGAGGUGAAAUUCGUAGAUAUUCGGAAGAACACCAGUGGCGAAGGCGACUGACUGGACAAGUAUUGACGCUGAGGUGCGAAAGCGUGGGGAGCAAACAGGAUUAGAUACCCGCGUAGUCCCUGUCUCUUAUAC
rnacentral:rRNA from 1 species